UCUUUAGUAUAAGUAUGUCCUAUACAAUAUUUGGGAUAUAUUUAUACUUUAA
rnacentral:pre_miRNA from 1 species